GCCCUUCGAAUCACACAGGACUAAAAGGAGCAGGUAUCAAGCACACACUCUUGUAGCUCACAACGCCUUGCUUAACCACACCCCCACGGGAGACAGCAGUAACAAAAAUUAAGCCAUAAACGAAAGUUUGACUAAGUCAUAUUGACCAGGGUUGGUAAAUCUCGUGCCAGCCACCGCGGUCAUACGAUUGACCCAAGCUAACAGGAGUACGGCGUAAAGCGUGUUAAAGCAUCAUACUAAAUAGAGUUAAAUUUUAAUUAAACUGUAAAAAGCCAUAAUUAUAACAAAAAUAAAUGACGAAAGUAACCCUACAAUAGCUGAUACACCAUAGCUAAGACCCAAACUGGGAUUAGAUACCCCACUAUGCUUAGCCCUAAACACAAAUAAUUAUAAAAACAAAAUUAUUCGCCAGAGUACUACCGGCAACAGCCCGAAACUCAAAGGACUUGGCGGUGCUUUAUACCCUUCUAGAGGAGCCUGUUCUAUAAUCGAUAAACCCCGAUAAACCUCACCAAUCCUUGCUAAUACAGUCUAUAUACCGCCAUCUUCAGCAAACCCUAAAAAAGGGACAAAAGUUAGCUCAAUAAUAACACAUAAAGACGUUAGGUCAAGGUGUAACCUAUGGAGUGGGAAGAAAUGGGC
rnacentral:rRNA from 1 species